rnacentral:rRNA from 1 species
GAUGAACGCUAGCGGCAGGCCUAACACAUGCAAGUCGAGGGGGAAGUUACUUUCGGGUGACUGAGACCGGCGUACGGGUGCGUAACGCGUAUACAAUCUGCCUUUCACUGGGGGAUAGCCCGAAGAAAUUUGGAUUAAUACCCCAUAGUAUAUAGGGACGGCAUCGUUUUUAUAUUAAAGCUUAGGUGGUGAAAGAUGAGUAUGCGUUCUAUUAGCUAGUUGGGGAGGUAACGGCUCCCCAAGGCGAUGAUAGAUAGGGGUUCUGAGAGGGAUGUCCCCCACACUGGUACUGAGAUACGGACCAGACUCCUACGGGAGGCAGCAGUGAGGAAUAGUGGACAAUGGUCGGAAGACUGAUCCAGCCAUGCCGCGUGCAGGAUGAAGGUCUUAUGGAUUGUAAACUGCUUUUGUAAGGGAAGAAUAAGGGCUACGCGUAGUUUGAUGACGGUACCUUACGAAUAAGCAUCGGCUAACUCCGUG